rnacentral:tRNA from 1 species
AAGAUAGUAGCAUAAUAAAUGCUUUAGUUUUAAAAACUAAAGAUUUCAUCUUA